UACGUAGGGUGCGAGCGUUGUCCGGAAUUAUUGGGCGUAAAGAGCUCGUAGGCGGUUUGUUGCGUCUAUCGUGAAAACCUGCAGCUUAACUGUGGGCUUGCGGUGGAUACGGGCAGACUUGAGUUCGGUAGGGGAGACUGGAAUUCCUGGUGUAGCGGUGGAAUGCGCAGAUAUCAGGAGGAACACCGGUGGCGAAGGCGGGAUCCUGGGCCAGUACUGACGCUGAGGAGCGAAAGCGUGGGGAGCAAACAGG
rnacentral:rRNA from 1 species